rnacentral:tRNA from 1 species
UAGCUCAGUUGGUAGAGUGCUUGCCUUGCAUGCACAAAACCCUGGGUUCAAUCCCCAG